AUGGGCUCUUAGUCAUCUGAUGCUGCAUCCGGUGUAGUUUAUUCGAUUAUAUUUUUACGGAGCCAGGGGGGCGCAGCGUGUUUACGUCACACGUGGAAACGGUAACCAGGCAGCUGACUCCAGAGUUGAACGUCACUCGAUUUCUCCCCGUUCAGUUCAGAGGCCUCUCCACUUUCUCGCUGCUGAUGCCGCAUGAUAUCCUUGGCGAUUCGGAGGCUGGCAGCCUGUCCGCCGGCCAAGUUUACCGCAUGAGGUCCGAUCUGCCGAGCUGACCUGAAGUGGGAAUUCCUCCAUGACGCCAGAAAGCAGCGAGUCCUGCUUGACAUCGAGCUUGCAGCCAGUGGCGAGCCAGAUGACGUCUCCGGUCCAACGGGCCCCCAUGCUGAGGGACAGACUCCAGGCCUG